GCAAUAUUCUGUUGAAGAGACUGCUCUCUCCAAUCAUUCCAUUAGUUUGGGAACUUGUGAGGGCACAAUCACCUCUUUUCCAUUAGGAAUUGCCUGAGACCAACAACUACCAUAUUUUUUGAAAAUGGAAUUCCAGUCUGACUUAAUCCCAAUGGCACAAAAAAGAGCUUCAAAGGGAAAUAAGGCAUUCCUGCACACUGGGCUUUGAAGGUGAGCUGCUUCAUGAAAACUCCCUGCAGUGCUGUGUUGCUGAAACCAACAAUCUGAAAAUGAAGCUGAGACAGUGAGGAGGAUAUUGGCUGAUGAGUGGUAAGGACCUCAGACUACUUGAGUUUUGACAUCAGUGGCCUAGUUAAAGGAGUCCAAUGUGGGGACCAUUUAUGACCAGACAUAGAAGAGCACUGGAACUGCAAUUCCCUGAAGAGAAACAGAAAGGAGGAAUGUCCUAGAGGGUCUGUUAUGGCUUCUACACUUGCUUUUCUACAAUUGUAUCCUGAACUGGUG